AAUCCAGGAAAUUCCUGUCCGAGAAGUUGUCACGGAUGCCCACCCACAAAUCUCUGCCUUGCUUAAUCCAGAGCGUGGGCGCUACAAAAAUAUUCACCACUCUCUCGACAUAUGGCAUGCUGCCAAAAAUCUUGGAAAGAAGUUACGACGGGCUGGCACAAUAAAAAAUCUGAAUUCAAUUCUAGCCUGGAUGAAGGACAUCGUUAAUCA